rnacentral:rRNA from 1 species
CCUACGGGUGGCAGCAGUGAGGAAUAUUGGUCAAUGGACGCAAGCCUGAACCAGCCAUGCCGCGUGAAGGAAGACGGCUCUAUGAGUUGUAAACUGCUUUUGUACGAGGGUAAACGCAGAUACGCGUAUCUGUCUGAAAGUAUCGUACGAAUAAGGAUCGGCUAACUCCGUGCCAGCAGCCGCGGUAAUACGGAGGAUUCAAGCGUUAUCCGGAUUUAUUGGGUUUAAAGGGUGCGUAGGCGGUUGGAUAAGUUAGAGGUGAAAUCCCGAGGCUCAACUUCGGAAUUGCCUUUGAUACUGUCAGGCUAGAGAGUAGUUGCGGUAGGCGGAAUUUAUGGUGUAGCGGUGAAAUGCUUAGAGAUCACACAGAACACCGAUUGCGAAGGCAGCUUACCAAGCUACCUCUGACGUUGAGGCACGAAAGCGUGGGGAGCAAACAGGAUUAGAUACCCCAGUAGUC